rnacentral:rRNA from 1 species
GUCUUUGGCCAUACCACCCUGGAUAUGUGGGAUCUCCUCUGAUCUCAGAAGCUAAGCAGGGUUGGGCCUUGUUAGUAUAGUACUUGGAUGGGAGGCCAAAAUGCUGGGAUUAAAGGCA